rnacentral:tRNA from 1 species
UCACUGGUGGUCUUGUGGUUAGGACUUAGUGCUUUUACCGCUGUGGCCUGGGUUCAAUUCCUUGUCAGGGAG